UGGGACCUGAGGAUCAUUUCCUAAGGACAUCUCAGUGAAUAUGAAUGUGUGUGGGGUGGAGGUAGGAGCCCAGGCAAGGGUCACUGGGUCCCAGGCAGUAUCUAGUUGAUCCAGAACAAGCCCCCACCCCAUCCCCCCAGUGAGCCAGGAACUGCCAGGACUUGCUAAUACAAAAGGACAACUGUCACCUCAAAGGGGAUAAGAGUUUGUUCUGGAACCAACUGUGUGACCAAGGCCCAGGAACACAGAUUCAGGUUACCCCAUAUUUCAUGUUCCAAUGUGGUAACAGUAUUGAACUAUUUAUAGUAACAGGACAAAGGAAAUCAUUAAUCAAGACACUUUUCAAAUGCAUCGGUGUAUCAGAGGCUGGUGGGUCACAGCAGAAUGAGAACUUCAGCUACAGGCCUGAUACUUGCUAGCCAUUGUAGCCUUUGAUGGGUGGGGCUUGGGGAUUUGCUAAUUUAAUUCAUACCAAGAGGUUCCCCUGAUAGUUAACAAAGACAUUAGCCUGGACACAACUGUGGUCAAGGAAUGGCGGCUAAGGGACUAAGCACAGCCAAGGUAAAGUGUAACUAGGCACUGAGCCCGCAGCCCCAGGUCUCCACAACCUCAGAGAGUUCCAGUCAGGGUGUCAGUCUUUCAGAAGGCUCUCUGUAAGGCACAGCCUCUUUCCAGAACCUUCCAGCACAGAUUCUAGCCCAUGUCCUCCUGACUCAUCCCAUGUCACCAUGACUCUGCAGGACCCCACCUGUCCUGGGUAUGCCCUCUAGGCUGUCUGAAGGAGCUUUGCUUAGUAAGCAAAACGGCAAGGCUAGGAGGAAGUGGGUGUGGUUACCAGUCCUCUCUCUGGAAGCUCUGACGUAGCCUUCCAGGGACAAGGCCAUGGUGGCCCUGUGGGCACAAAGCCUUGUCCAGCUGGAAUGUUCCUGAGAAAGGAAUCCGCUGGACUGUGAGUGCUCCCUAGUUCUCAGGCCUCACUCCAAAUGGUCCAUCCCCAAGAUCAGCCAGAUCAGGCCUCAGACAAUCCCAUCUUCCCUAAACUGCUCCAUCAGUCUCUAGAACAUUCUUCCACUUGACCAGCUUUCUAUGCCUGCCCCUAAGUGAGCCAUCUCCGUCCAUAGAUACUGCCCAGCUCAUGCUUGGCAUCCCUGACAGUAUCAUUACCAGUGCCCUUCUUCCUGCAGCAGCUGUGAGAAACAUUCUAGAACUUUCAAACUCAUCUUAGUCACUGUUCUGUUGCUGCAAUGGAACACCAUGACCAAUGUGGAUUAGAGUCUAAAGGCUGCUCCGCAGAAGGAUCGUGGGAGGUGGGGAGCAGGCAAGAGCCCAGGCAAGACCAGCAGCACGGACUUCCAGCAAGGUGCAGCCUCUGUGUAUCGGGGAGACUCUGCCCAGAAUGGGGAAACUGAGGCUCUGAGAAAGCUGCCACGGGCCUGCCCUAUGCUAUCGGAGCACACUCAGACUGGGCAGUCAAGAGUUGCACAGAGACACCUCCUGGGGUCAGACUUGACACAGAAAAGAAAGAAAGAACUCCUUGGAAAUGAAGGUGUUGGAAGCAGGCUUCUGAGAGAUGACUAGGAGUUUUCAAGGAGGAAAGGGUCUGAAAUCUGGCCUUUCAGACCAGAGAAGAGAAAGCUUGUGAGUUCCACACAAGGUUGUACCCAUUUAAAAAUUAAAUUAAACUAAUUACAUUUUGA